UUAAAAGUGCAACUUUAUAUUUCUGAAUCAUUUUUAAUUGGACUUUCCAAGUAAACUCUGUAUAAAAAGAUUUGGACCGUACCUCUUUUUCAAAGUAAUUCCAUCGUUAUCAGCAAAUUAUGACUAAAGUAUUCUGCAUUGUGUUGUUAGGAUUGCUCUGCAUGCAAGCAAUGGCGUUCUAUACUCCGGAGAAGCAAGGACUAUGCCCGCCUGAGACCCCUGGUGUUGGAACUAUUUGCCUGGUGUCGUGCCGGACAGACAGGGAGUGUCCCGGGAUUCAGAAGUGUUGCCUAGAUGGGUGUCUUGUGGAGUGUCGAAAUCCAGUCUAUGGAUAUCAGCGUUCUUCAAGAUAUUAAAAAUAUUAAAGCAGAGACCGAUUUA